UGAAGCUUCCCUUAGCCUGUGUUGUUUAAAAGAAGCAAGUGGUGAGGAAGAAGCUAGCGAAAGCGAUGUGAUAGACAGACUGAGGGAGUGGAAGCCUGGAGCAGAUACCUACUUAUAUAAACACGAGAACCAGCACUCAGAGGAAGACGAGAGGCUAAGCUUGUAUAGUUGUAUGAGAGGAGGAGGUACUCGUACUCAUUUGGUAUAUGGGCGGGCUAGCUGUUGUGUUGCUGGUUGCUACCAGCACUCACAUGGAUCUCACUCGCAUCACGGCCUGCUGUCCUGUCCUCAGAGGCACGAGAAGGUAAUAACAGGAGGAGCAGUAAAGCAGAGCAAGGUACGCUAGUACAGUACAGCUGGGUUGGUUGGGAGGCUACAUUGCAUUCGCAUUGAGCUGCGCUGUCAGAGAUUAUAUUUACUUACCGGGUGUUGAAAGCAGGCUCAAUGCUAGACAGUAGUUUACUCCAUACUGGCAUCCUCCAAUCCAUGACACGCAGCUGCGUCCGCGGUGUUGAAGGAAGAAGAGCUGUUGGUGCCAGAGCAAUCUGAAGCUGCUGCUGCUGCAGCAGCUAUGGCCUUGUCCGACCCCUGCUCUGCGUCCAGGCGUUGGCGGUUGGCGUCAGAUUCGGACGAGGUAUGAGCUGUGGAUCUGUGAUGCAUAUGCAUGCCGUGCAAGCAAGACAGGAACCGAACAACCAAACCUGGCAGCAUUCAUCAUAUGCUAUGUAAGGUUCGGUGGAGCAGCCUGCAGCGUGCAGGUACGCUGGUGCUGCAAAUGUGGAAAGGGAAUUGCAUUGCAUCCGUCCGUGAGAAUAAUUGAAUAAAGAGGAGAGAGCCUCGCCCUUGAUGUACGACGAUCGCACUGUGCACCUACUAGGGUCUAGGUAAGUACGUACGCUUUUCUUGCCUUGCUUAGACUUCACUUUUUUUCUUUUUCUUUAGCCAAUGUCAUGCACUACUACUCUCUUCUGAUUCAGUACCUUUUUGGGCCUUGGUGGGCCGACCUAA